rnacentral:rRNA from 1 species
UCCUACGGGAGGCAGCAGUGGGGAAUAUUGCACAAUGGGCGAAAGCCUGAUGCAGCAACGCCGCGUGAGCGAUGAAGGCCUUCGGGUCGUAAAGCUCUGUCCUCAAGGAAGAUAAUGACGGUACUUGAGGAGGAAGCCCCGGCUAACUACGUGCCAGCAGCCGCGGUAAU